rnacentral:rRNA from 1 species
UACGGGGGGAGCAAGCGUUGUUCGGAUUUACUGGGCGUAAAGGGCGCGUAGGCGGCGCAACAAGUCACUUGUGAAAUCUCCGGGCUUAACCCGGAGCGGCCAAGUGAUACUGUCGUGCUAGAGUGCGGAAGGGGCUACUGGAAUUCUCGGUGUAGCGGUGAAAUGCGUAGAUAUCGAGAGGAACACCUGCGGCGAAGGCGGGUAGCUGGGCCGACACUGACGCUGGGGAGCGAAAGCGUGGGGAGCGAACAGG